AACGAACGCUGGCGGCAUGCCUAACACAUGCAAGUCGAACGAGACCUUCGGGUCUAGUGGCGCACGGGUGCGUAACGCGUGGGAACCUGCCCUUAGGUUCGGAAUAACUCCCCGAAAGGGGUGCUAAUACCGGAUAAUGUCUUCGGACCAAAGAUUUAUCGCCUUUGGAUGGGCCCGCGUUGGAUUAGCUAGUUGGUAGGGUAAAAGCCUACCAAGGCGACGAUCCAUAGCUGGUCUGAGAGGAUGAUCAGCCACACUGGGACUGAGACACGGCCCAGACUCCUACGGGAGGCAGCAGUGGGGAAUAUUGGACAAUGGGCGAAAGCCUGAUCCAGCCAUGCCGCGUGAGUGAUGAAGGCCUUAGGGUUGUAAAGCUCUUUUACCCGGGAUGAUAAUGACGGUACCGGGAGAAUAAGCCCCGGCUAACUCCGUG
rnacentral:rRNA from 1 species